UUACGGCCACCUCACGCAUGAAACACCGAUUCCCGUACGAUCAUCGAAGUUAAGCAAUGUUGGGCCUGGUCAGUACCUAGGGGGAUGACUGCUUAGGAAAAGCAGAU